rfam:Nomascus leucogenys chromosome 7b, whole genome shotgun sequence.
UCAAAGCUGAUUUUGAAACUUAAAAAAAAAAUCGCCAGGUACCAUGCAAAAGCAAUCUUCCCUUUAGAAUGACUGAUGGUAUGCUAAGGUUUUUCAUGGCAUAUUAUUAUUAAAGGUGAAUACAAAU